UUGCACUGUUCGUAACCUGUUGACAGCCUCUUCUGCUAAUGGGUUCCAUUCCAGUGCUACAGUAACACCCAGGAUGAGAAAAAGCAGGCAUUUUUUGCAUGUCUGUUAUCUCCGUUUUGGGGACACAU
ensembl:snoRNA small nucleolar RNA SNORA54